AAGUGCAUCGGAAACUGUGAAACUUGAGUGCAGAAGAGGACAGUGGAACUCCAUGUGUAGCGGUGAAAUGCGUAGAUAUAUGGAAGAACACCAGUGGCGAAGGCGGCUGUCUGGUCUGUAACUGACGCUGAGGCUCGAAAGUAUGGGUAGCAAACAGGAUUAGAUACCCUGGUAGUCCAUACCGUAAACGAUGAAUGCUAAGUGUUGGAGGGUUUCCGCCCUUCAGUGCUGCAGCUAACGCAUUAAGCAUUCCGCCUGGGGAGUACGGCCGCAAGGCUGAAACUCAAAGGAAUUGACGGGGGCCCGCACAAGCGGUGGAGCAUGUGGUUUAAUUCGAAGCUACGCGAAGAACCUUACCAGGUCUUGACAUACUAUGCAAAUCUAAGAGAUUAGACGUUCCCUUCGGGGACAUGGAUACAGGUGGUGCAUGGUUGUCGUCAGCUCGUGUCGUGAGAUGUUGGGUUAAGUCCCGCAACGAGCGCAACCCUUAUUAUCAGUUGCCAGCAUUAAGUUGGGCACUCUGGUGAGACUGCCGGUGACAAACCGGAGGAAGGUGGGGAUGACGUCAAAUCAUCAUGCCCCUUAUGACCUGGGCUACACACGUGCUACAAUGGAUGGUACAACGAGUUGCGAACUCGCGAGAGUAAGCUAAUCUCUUAAAGCCAUUCUCAGUUCGGAUUGUAGGCUGCAACUCGCCUACAUGAAGUCGGAAUCGCUAGUAAUCGCGGAUCAGCAUGCCGCGGUGAAUACGUUCCCGGGCCUUGUACACACCGCCCGUCACACCAUGAGAGUUUGUAACACCCAAAGUCGGUGGGGUAACCUAUA
rnacentral:rRNA from 2 species